rnacentral:rRNA from 1 species
UGCGUAGGCGGACUAAUAAGUCAGUGGUGAAAUCUUUCGGCUCAACCGGGAAACUGCCAUUGAUACUGUUAGUCUUGAGUUCGGUUGAGGUAGGCGGAAUGUGUAAUGUAGCGGUGAAAUGCUUAGAUAUUACACAGAACACCAAUUGCGUAGGCAGCUUACUAGACCGACACUGACGCUGAGGCACAAAAGCGUGGGGAGCGAACAGGAUUAGAUACCCUGGUAGUCC